rnacentral:rRNA from 1 species
UACGGGGGGGCAAGCGUUGUUCGGAAUUACUGGGCGUAAAGGGCUCGUAGGCGGCCAACUAAGUCAGACGUGAAAUCCCCAGGCUCAACCUGGGAACUGCGUCUGAUACUGGAUGGCUUGAAUUCGGGAGAGGGAUGCAGAAUUCCAGGUGUAGCGGUGAAAUGCGCAGAUAUCGGGAAGAACACCCGUGGCGAAGGCGGUUCUCUGGGACGGUACUGACGCUGAGACGCGAAAGCGUGGGGAGCGAACAGG